UAGGGAAUCUUGCGCAAUGGGCGAAAGCCUGACGCAGCAACGCCGCGUGCGGGAAGAAGGCUCUCGGGUUGUAAACCGCUUUCAGUAGGAACGAAUUUGACGGUACCUGCAGAAGAAGGUGCGGCCAACUACGUGCCAGCAGCCGCGGUGACACGUAGGCACCAAGCGUUGUCCGGAUUUAUUGGGCGUAAAGAGCUCGUAGGCGGUUCAGUAAGUCGGGUGUGAAAACUCAGGGCUCAACCCUGAGCUGCCACCCGAUACUGCUGUGACUUGAGUCCGGUAGGGGAGUGGGGAAUUCCUGGUGUAGCGGUGAAAUGCGCAGAUAUCAGGAGGAACACCGGUGGCGAAGGCGCCACUCUGGGCCGAGACUGACGCUGAGGAGCGAAAGCAUGGGUAGCAAACAGG
rnacentral:rRNA from 1 species